rnacentral:rRNA from 1 species
AUUGAACGCUGGCGGCAGGCCUAACACAUGCGAGUCGAGCGGAUGAAGGGAGCUUGCUCCUGGAUUCAGCGGCGGACGGGUGAGUAAUGCCUAGGAAUCUGCCUGGUAGUGGGGGAUAACGUCCGGAAACGGGCGCUAAUACCGCAUACGUCCUGAGGGAGAAAGUGGGGGAUCUUCGGACCUCACGCUAUCAGAUGAGCCUAGGUCGGAUUAGCUAGUUGGUGGGGUAAAGGCCUACCAAGGCGACGAUCCGUAACUGGUCUGAGAGGAUGAUCAGUCACACUGGAACUGGGACACGGUCCAGACUCCUACGGGAGGCAGCAGUGGGGAAUAUUGGACAAUGGGCGAAAGCCUGAUCCAGCCAUGCCGCGUGUGUGAAGAAGGUCUUCGGACUGUAAAGCACUUUAAGUUGGGAGGAAGGGCAGUAAGUUAAUACCUUGCUGUUUUGACGUUACCAACAGAAUAAGCACCGGCUAACUUCGUG